CAGCAGCAGCCACGGUAAUACGGAGGGUGCGAGCGUUAAUCGGAAUUACUGGGCGUAAAGCGUACGCAGGCGGUUUGUUAAGUCAGAUGUGAAAUCCCCGAGCUUAACUCGGGAACUGCAUUUGAAACUGGCAGGCUAGAGUCUCGUAGAGGGGGGUAGAAUUCCAGGUGUAGCGGUGAAAUGCGUAGAGAUCUGGAGGAAUACCGGUGGCGAAGGCGGCCCCCUGGACAAAGACUGACGCUCAGGUGCGAAAGCGUGGGGAGCAAACAGGAUUAGAUACCCCAGUAGUCCCUGUCUCUUAUAC
rnacentral:rRNA from 1 species